rnacentral:rRNA from 1 species
AAAACAUGGCUCCUUGAAAUCCAAUAAUAAGGAGUCGGACCUGCCCAGUGAAUUUCUUCAACGGCCGCGGUACUCUGACCGUGCAAAGGUAGCAUAAUCAUUUGCCUUAUAAUUGAAGGCUAGUAUGAAUGGUUUGACAUGAAUGUAGCUGUCUCUUUAUAAUUUAAUAGAAUUUUAUCUUCAGGUGAAGAAGCCUGUAUUUAAUUAAAAGACAAGAAGACCCUAUCGAGCUUAAAAAAAAUUAAUAGAAUUAAGGUUAAUAAAAUUAAAAAAUUGUCUAUUAUAUAUUUUAGUUGGGGCGACUGAGGAACAUAAAAAGCUUCCUUUAAAAGUAUCUUAAAUCAAACUAGAAUUGAUCCAAAACAUUUUGAUUAAAGGAAUUAGUUACCGUAGGGAUAACAGCAUUAUCUUUUUUAAGAGCUCAUAUCGAAAAAAAGGUUUGUGACCUCGAUGUUGGACCAGAAUAUCCUAAAGAUGCAGCAGUCUUUAAGGGUUGGUCUGUUCGACCAUUAAAAUUCUACCUGA